AUAAAUAUAUUUUAAAAGCAUUAGAUGGAUACCUUGAUAUUUAUGAUGUGGACGUUAUUUAUUAACGAAAAAAUUUAUUGAAUUAAAUAUUAUGAUGUAAAUGUUUCCAAUGAGAAAACUUUUUCUGAAUGAAAAUUUAACGAAAUUUUAGUGAAUUGAAACAUCUUAGUAACUAAAAAUCAAAUAUCAAACGAAAUUCUGUGAGUAGUGGCGAGCGAAAAUGGAUAAAUUAAAAAUUAGGUUUAAAUUAAAUAAAAAUUUCAAAUUAUAAAUACAUAGAUGGUUUUGAUUCCAGUAUGAAAUGAAAUUUUAUUUAAUUAUGAGUAAAACGAAAUAGGUGUAAUUUUGUUUGAAUAUAAGGGAACCAUCCUUUAAGCCUUAAGAAAAUAAAUAAUCGAUAGUGAACAAGUACUGUAAAGGAAAGGUGAAAUAGAAUUUACGAAAUUGAAAAGAACUUGAAAUCUAAUGCUUUGAUCUAUUGGAGCUUUAAUUGUAAAAGUGACAAUGUACCUUUUGUAUAAUGGACCAGUAAGUUUAUUUAUAUAGCAAGUUUAAAUUAAUAAAUGUAGACGUAGUGAAAGCGAAUUUUAAAAGAAUAGUAAAAGUUAUAUAAAUAAGACCCGAAACCAAGUGAUCUAAUUAUGAACAAGUUGAAAAAAUA
rnacentral:rRNA from 1 species